rnacentral:rRNA from 1 species
CUGCGGAAGGAUCAUUGUCGAUACCUGCCUAGCAGAACGACCCGUGAACGUGCUAUUAAACACCAAUGGGAUGGGGCGUGGUCGCCUAAUCGUGCCUCGUCCCAUCCUUGCCUCGGGGGCCUGGGACCGUUAGCCCCCCACGCCGCACGGGGUAGUGGGAGGCAUGGCCUUGUGUCUUCGAGGCAAAACGAACAACCCCCGGCGUGAAUCACGCCAAGGAAUCUGAAUGAAAGGGUGCCCGCCUGUUGUCGCCGCCCCGUUCGCGGUGUGCGUGCGCAAGAGACGCGGCUUCUCCGUCGUGAAUAACACAAAACGACUCUCGGCAACGGAUAUCUCGGCUCUCGCAUCGAUGAAGAACGUAGCGAAAUGCGAUACUUGGUGUGAAUUGCAGAAUCCCGUGAACCAUCGAGUUUUUGAACGCAAGUUGCGCCCCAAGCCACUAGGCCGAGGGCACGUCUGCCUGGGUGUCACGCAUCGUUGCUCCCAUCCAACCCCUUACCCACAGGGAAUCGGUUGAGGUGUGGGCGGACAAUGGCCUCCCGUGCGCACAUCGCCCGCGGUUGGCCUAAAAUCGAGUAUCGGCGACCACGGUGCCGCGACGAUCGGUGGUAAUGCUUCCAGCUGCAUCGUUUUGAGUCGUGUGCUCCCGUUGAUCCGGACUCUUUGACCCUUCCGGCACCGCAAGCACGGUGCUCGCAUCGCGACCCCCGGUCAGGCGGGA